rnacentral:rRNA from 1 species
AUACGUAGGGAGCGAGCGUUGUCCGGAAUUACUGGGUGUAAAGGGAGCGUAGGCGGGAGUGCAAGUCAGAUGUGAAAUACAUGGGCUCAACCCAUGGGCUGCAUUUGAAACUGCAUUUCUUGAGUGAAGCAGAGGUAAGCGGAAUUCCUGGUGUAGCGGUGAAAUGCGUAGAUAUCAGGAGGAACACCGGUGGCGAAGGCGGCUUACUGGGCUUUUACUGACGCUGAGGCUCGAAAGCGUGGGGAGCAAACAGGAUUAGAUACCCUGGUAGUCCACGCUGUAAACGAUGAUUACUAGGUGUGGGGGGACUGACCCCUUCCGUGCCGCAGUUAACACAAUAAGUAUUCCACCUGGGGAGUACGAUCGCAAGAUUGAAACUUAAAGGAAUUGACGGGG